rnacentral:rRNA from 1 species
GAUGAACGCUGGCGGCGUGCCUAAUACAUGCAAGUCGAGCGAACGGACGAGAAGCUUGCUUCUCUGAUGUUAGCGGCGGACGGGUGAGUAACACGUGGAUAACCUACCUAUAAGACUGGGAUAACUUCGGGAAACCGGAGCUAAUACCGGAUAAUAUUUUGAACCGCAUGAUUCAAAAGUGAAAGACGGUCUUGCUGUCACUUAUAGAUGGAUCCGCGCUGCAUUAGCUAGUUGGUAAGGUAACGGCUUACCAAGGCAACGAUGCAUAGCCGACCUGAGAGGGUGCUCGGCCACACUGAAACUGAGACACGGUCCAGACUCCUACGAGAGGCAGCAGUAGGGAAUCUUCCGCAAUGGGCGAAAGCCUGACGGAGCAACGCCGCGUGAGUGAUGAAGGUCUUCGGAUCGUAAAACUCUGUUAUUAGGGAAGAACAUAUGUGUAAGUAACUGUGCACAUCUUGACGGUACCUAAUCAGAAAGCCACGGCUAACUACG